CCUACGGGAGGCAGCAGUCGAGAAUCAUUCACAAUGGGGGAAACCCUGAUGGUGCGACGCCGCGUGGGGGAAUGAAGGUCUUCGUAUUGUAAACCCCUGUCAUCUGGGAGCAAAUUAAGAAGAUAGUACCACAAGGGGAAGAGCCGGCUAACUCGGUGCCAGCAGCCGCGUUAAUACAGAGGUCUCAAGCGUUGUUCGGAGUUACUGGGCGUAAGGGGUUCGUAGGCUGGUUGGUAAGUCGUGUGUGAAAGGCGCGGGCUCAACCCGCGGACGGCACAUGAUACUGGGAGACUAGAGUAAUGGAGGGGGAAGCGGAAUUCGCGGUGUAGCAGUGAAAUGCGUAGAUAUCGAGAGGAACACUCGUGGCGAAGGCGGGUUCCUGGACAUUAACUGACGCUGAGGCACGAAGGCCAGGGGAGCGAAAGGGAUUAGAUACCCGAGUAGUC
rnacentral:rRNA from 1 species